UACGGGGGGGGCAAGCGUUGUUCGGAAUUACUGGGCGUAAAGGGUGCGUAGGCGGUCUGUUAAGUUGGAUGUGAAAACUCUGGGCUCAACCCAGAGCCUGCAUCCAAAACUGGCAGGCUAGAGUUCUGGAGGGGUAGCGGAAUUCCUGGUGUAGCGGUGAAAUGCGCAGAUAUCAGGAGGAACACCGGUGGCGAAGGCGGUUCUCUGGCAUUACCUGACGCUGAGGAGCGAAAGCGUGGGGAGCGAACAGG
rnacentral:rRNA from 1 species